ensembl:ncRNA F09E10.10 ncRNA
UUGUUUAAAGGUAAGUUGUAUCAAAAAAAUUCAAACCAAAAAAAUUCAAAUUUCAAAACUGAUGUGCUCACAAAAGGGCGGAAAUUUUACGGAUUGCUGAAAUAUAAGCGGCAAAUUUUACAAAUUAAUAAGAAUAUAUUUUUUACAUAUAUUAAUAGUUUCAAAACAUUUUUUUUAAAGUGUAUACAUUGAGAAUUUUUUAAGAAGUUUAUAUUAGACAACAAAAACUGAUGAAUAUUUAUGGAUAAAGUUGAUAAAAGCAUCCUCAAAUUGCUUGUUAUAGCACCCGGGACUUCGCGGGACUCCGCAAAUUAGAAAAAGGGCCCGUGAAGGGUCGGGCGCGUUGUGUUUUGCAAAAGAUCGUGUUACGCACCGAAUUUUGAUGUCACCGAUGCACCAUGAUCAACUCAACUUCGAGAGCUCAGAUCGGACGGAAG